rnacentral:rRNA from 1 species
UACGUAGGGUGCAAGCGUUUAAUCGGAAUUACUGGGCGUAAAGCGUGCGCAGGGCGGUUUUGUAAGACCGAAUGGUGAAAUCCCCGGGCUUAACCUGGGAACUGCAUUGGUGACUGCAAGGCUUGAGUGUGUCAGGAAGGGAGGUGGAAUUCCGCGUGUAAGCAGUGAAAUGCGUAGAGAUGCGGAGGAACACCGAUGGCGAAGGCAGCCCCCUGGGCUAGCACUGACGCUCAGGCACGAAAGCGUGGGGAGCAAACAGG